UGGUUGAUUAGUGGCGAACGGGUGAGUAACACGUGAGUAACCUGCCCCUUACUUUCUGGAUAACUGCUCGAAAGGGUAGCUAAUACGGGAUAUUCUGGCCUUCCUGCAUGGGUUGGUUUGGAAAGGUUGUUUUUUCUGGUAAGGGAUGGGCUCGCGGCCUAUCAGCUUGUUGGUGGGGUGAUGGCCUACCAAGGCUUUGACGGGUAGCCGGCCUGAGAGGGUGGACGGUCACACUGGGACUGAGAUACGGCCCAGACUCCUACGGGAGGCAGCAGUGGGGAAUAUUGCACAAUGGGCGCAAGCCUGAUGCAGCGACGCCGCGUGAGGGAUGAAGGCCUUCGGGUUGUAAACCUCUUUCGUCAGGGAACAAGGCACCGCUUUUUGGUGGUGUUGAGGGUACCUGGAUAAGAAGCGCCGGCUAACUACGUGCCAGCAGCCGCGGUAAUACGUAGGGCGCAAGCGUUGUCCGGAAUUAUUGGGCGUAAAGAGCUCGUAGGCGGCUGGUCGCGUCUGUCGUGAAAACUUCCGGCUCAACCGGGGGCUUGCGGUGGGUACGGGCCGGCUAGAGUGCGGUAGGGGUAACUGGAACUCCUGGUGUAGCGGUGGAAUGCGCAGAUAUCAGGAAGAACACCGAUGGCGAAGGCAGGUUACUGGGCCGUUACUGACGCUGAGGAGCGAAAGCGUGGGGAGCGAACAGGAUUAGAUAUCCUGGUAGUCCACGCUGUAAACGUUGGGCACUAGGUGUGAGGCUCCUUUCCGGGGUUUUGCGCCGUAGCUAACGCAUUAAGU
rnacentral:rRNA from 1 species